GAGUUUGAUCGUGGCUCAGGAUGAACGCUAGCGGCAGGCUUAACACAUGCAAGUCGAGGGGUAGAGUUAGCUUGCUAACUUGAGACCGGCGCACGGGUGCGUAACGCGUAUGCAAUCUACCUUGUACAGGGGGAUAGCCCAGAGAAAUUUGGAUUAAUACCCCAUAGUGUUAUGAUGUGGCAUCACAUUAUAACUAAAGUUCCAACGGUACAAGAUGAGCAUGCGUCCCAUUAGCUAGUUGGUGUGGUAACGGCAUACCAAGGCAACGAUGGGUAGGGGUCCUGAGAGGGAGAUCCCCCACACUGGUACUGAGACACGGACCAGACUCCUACGGGAGGCAGCAGUGAGGAAUAUUGGUCAAUGGGCGCAAGCCUGAACCAGCCAUGCCGCGUGCAGGAUGACGGUCCUAUGGAUUGUAAACUGCUUUUUGUACAGGAAGAAACACUCCCUCGUGAGGGAGCUUGACGGUACUGUAAGAAUAAGGAUCGGCUAACUCCGUGCCAGCC
rnacentral:rRNA from 1 species